AAUAGAAAUACAUGGGAAUUAGUAUAUGCUGUUGAAAUCCUAUCUUCUGCCCUCUGCAGAUAGGAGGCAGAAAUGGAGUUGGAUCCAGACAGGAUUACUCUGGAUGGCUGAAACGAUCUCCAGUCUGGUCCCAGAAGAAUGAUGGGCAGAAAAAUGAAUGAAGGGGCAACAGAUGUCUGAAACCUUGCCAGUGGAGAAAUGUUUCAAGUUAGACACUCAAAGAAGAAAGGAAAUGUUCAAGGGCCCAAGAAAGGGAUCCUGGAGAAAAGUGACAAGCAGAACAAAAUGGAACCUGUGGGACUAGGGAAGACAGCAGCAAAGUCCCCAGCCAUGAGUAAAC
rnacentral:lncRNA from 12 species